AUUGAACGCUGGCGGCGUGCUUAACACAUGCAAGUCGAUCGGUAACAGGUGUAGCAAUACAUGCUGACGAGAGGCGGACGGGUGAGUAAUGCUUGGGAAUCUGCCUAUUAGUGGGGGACAACCCGGGGAAACUCGGGCUAAUACCGCAUACGCUCUACGGAGGAAAGCCGGGGACCGCAAGGCCUGGCGCUAAUAGAUGAGCCCAAGUCGGAUUAGCUAGUUGGUAGGGUAACGGCCUACCAAGGCGACAAUCCGUAGCUGGUCUGAGAGGACGACCAGCCACACCGGAACUGAGACACGGUCCGGGCUCCUACGGGAGGCAGCAGUGGGGAAUAUUGGACAAGUGGGGGCAACCCUGAUCCAGCGACGCCGCGUGGGUGAAGAAGGCCUGCGGGUUGUAAAGCUCUUUCGGCCGGGAAGAAGGGUUAUCCCGCGAACAGUUGGGUAAUCUGACGGUACCGGAAGAAGAAGCACCUGCUAACUACGUGCCAGCCGCCG
rnacentral:rRNA from 1 species